rnacentral:rRNA from 1 species
UACAGAGGGGGCAAGCGUUGUUCGGAAUUACUGGGCGUAAAGGGCGCGUAGGCGGCCUGUUAAGUCGAACGUGAAAUCUCUGGGCUCAACUCAGAGUCUGCUGGGGAAACUGCCGGGCUUGAGUGUGGGAGAGGAGAUUGGAAUUUACGGUGUAGCAGUGAAAUGCGUAGAUAUCGUAAGGAAGACCAGUGGCGAAGGCGGAUCUCUGGACAGUUACUGACACUGAGGCACGAAGGCCAGGGGAGCAAACGGG